UCCAGUUCAUCACUGGCGGUCCCCUUAGAGUCCCCAACUAAAUGAUGGCAACUAAGGGCAAGGGUUGCGCUCGUUACGGGACUUAACCCAACAUCUCACAACACGAGCUGACGACAGCCAUGCAGCACCUGUCUCUAGGUUCCUUUCGGCACUCCAGCUACUAAGCCAGAUUCCUAGGAUGUCAAGGGUAGGUAAGGUUCUUCGCGUUGCAUCGAAUUAAACCACAUGCUCCACCGCUUGUGCGGGCCCCCGUCAAUUCAUUUGAGUUUCAACCUUGCGGCCGUACUUCCCAGGCGGAAUACUUAUCGCGUUAGCUUCGAUACUGAUAGGUUCCCCUACCAACAUCUAGUACUCAUAGUUUACAGCGUGGACUAC
rnacentral:misc_RNA from 1 species